rnacentral:rRNA from 1 species
GAGUUUGAUCAUGGCUCAGGAUGAACGCUGGCGGCACGUCUGACACAUGCAAGUCGAACGGCAAGCCACCUCUCGGGUCGGCCUAGAAGUGGCGAACGGCUGAGUAACACGUAUGGAACCUACCCCUUAGUUCGGGACAACAGGCCGAAAGGCCUGCUAAUACCGGAUAAUAUCGAAAGAUUAAAAGGAUCUUACUGCUGCAGAGGAGGGGCCUGCGGCGUAUUAGCUAGUUGGUGAGGUAACUGCUCACCAAGGCGAUGAUGCGUAGCUGGUCUGAGAGGAUGAUCAGCCAGACUGGGACUGAGACACGGCCCAGACUCCUACGGGAGGCAGCAGUUCAGAAUCUUGCACAAUGGGCGAAAGCCUGAUGCAGCGAUGCCGCGUGGGUGAAGAAGGCCUUCGGGUCGUAAAGCCCUGUCAGAGGGAAAGAUAAUGACGGACUACCCUCUAAGGAAGCCACGGCUAAUUACGUGCCAGCAGCCGCGGUAAUACGUAAGUGGCGAGCCGUUAUCCGGAAUCACUGGGCGUAAAGCGAUGCGUAGGCGGUUUGGCAAGUUGGAUUUGAAAGCCCGGGGCUCAACUCCGGACCCGGAUCCAAAACUGC